CCUACGGGAGGCAGCAGUGAGGAAUAUUGGUCAAUGGGCGAGAGCCUGAACCAGCCAAGUCGCGUGAGGGAAGACGGUCCUAUGGAUUGUAAACCUCUUUUGCCGGGGAGCAAAACGCGGUACGCGUACCGCAUCGAGCGUACCCGGAGAAAAAGCAUCGGCUAACUCCGUGCCAGCAGCCGCGGUAAUACGGAGGAUGCGAGCGUUAUCCGGAUUUAUUGGGUUUAAAUGGUGCGCAGGCGGCGAGUUAAGUCAGCGGUAAAAUUUCGGGGCUCAACCCCGACAAGCCGUUGAAACUGGCGUGCUAGAGUGGGCGAGAAGUAUGCGGAAUGCGUGGUGUAGCGGUGAAAUGCAUAGAUAUCACGCAGAACUCCGAUUGCGAAGGCAGCAUACCGGCGCCCAACUGACGCUCAGGCACGAAAGCGUGGGUAUCGAACAGGAUUAGAUACCCCAGUAGUC
rnacentral:rRNA from 1 species